AUCGCUUCUCGGCCUUUUGGCUAAGAUCAAAUGUAGAAACUGUUCUAAUCAGUUUAAUACCUGAUAUGUGUGUGAUGAGAGGACUUUAUAUUAAAUGGAUUUUUGGGUAUGGGAGUUGGAUCCAGAACUAACUUCUCUGAUCCGCACAUCGUCCCGGUACUUGCCAACCGUGUCCUGGGCUGCAUCC
rnacentral:snRNA from 1 species